AAAAAAGGUAAGCUACUAAGAGCGAAUGGUGGAUGCCUUGACUGGUAAAGGCGAUGAAGGACGUACUAGACUGCGAUAAGCUACGGGGAGCUGUCAAGAAGCUUUGAUCCGUAGAUUUCCGAAUGGGGCAACCCAAUGUAUAGAGAUAUACAUUACCUAUAUAGGAGCGAACGAGGGGAAUUGAAACAUCUUAGUACCCUCAGGAAAAGAAAUCAAUAGAGAUUGCGUCAGUAGCGGCGAGCGAAAGCGCAAGAGGGCAAACCCAGUGCUUGCACUGGGGGUUGUAGGACUGCAAUGUGCAAGAGGUGAGUUUAGCAGAACAUUCUGGAAAGUAUAGCCAUAGAGGGUGAUAGUCCCGUAUGCGAAAAACAAACCUUAGCUAGCAGUAUCCUGAGUAGGGCGGGACACGAGAAAUCCUGUCUGAAGCUGGGUCGACCACGAUCCAACCCUAAAUACUAAUACCAGAUCGAUAGUGCACAAGUACCGUGAGGGAAAGGUGAAAAGAACUGAGGUGAUCAGAGUGAAAUAGAACCUGAAACCAUUUGCUUACAAUCAUUCAGAGCCCUAUGUAGCAAUACAGGGUGAUGGACUGCCUUUUGCAUAAUGAGCCUGCGAGUUGUGGUGUCUGGCAAGGUUAAGCAAACGCGAAGCCGUAGCGAAAGCGAGUCUGAAUAGGGCGCUUAGUCAGAUGCUGCAGACCCGAAACGAAGUGAUCUAUCCAUGAGCAAGUUGAAGCUAGUGUAAGAACUAGUGGAGGACUGAACCCAUAGGCGUUGAAAAGCCCCGGGAUGACUUGUGGAUAGGGGUGAAAGGCCAAUCAAACUUCGUGAUAGCUGGUUCUCUCCGAAAUAUAUUUAGGUAUAGCGUUGUGUCGUAAUAUAAGGGGGUAGAGCACUGAAUGGGCUAGGGCAUACACCAAUGUACCAAACCCUAUCAAACUCCGAAUACCUUAUAUGUAAUCACAGCAGUCAGGCGGCGAGUGAUAAAAUCCGUCGUCAAGAGGGAAACAACCCAGACUACCAGCUAAGGUCCCUAAAUCUUACUUAAGUGGAAAACGAUGUGAAGUUACUUAAACAACCAGGAGGUUGGCUUAGAAGCAGCCAUCCUUUAAAGAAAGCGUAAUAGCUCACUGGUCUAGUGAUUUUGCGCGGAAAAUAUAACGGGGCUAAAGUAAGUACCGAAGCUGUAGACUUGCGCACAACUUAGAUUAUUUAAGUUUAGAAUAUGAGAAACUAAGUUAUAUGUUUAGUUAUAUUUUUACUGAUUUUUAUAGAGUAAAGAUAGAAAUAAAACUUAGUAAAAUCAGUAAAAAUAUUCUUAGACUAAAGUUAAGUAGUUUAAGUUGUGUGCAAGUGGUAGGAGAGCGUUCUAUUUGCGUCGAAGGUAUACCGGUAAGGAGUGCUGGAGCGAAUAGAAGUGAGCAUGCAGGCAUGAGUAGCGAUAAUUAAUGUGAGAAUCAUUAACGCCGUAAACCCAAGGUUUCCUACGCGAUGCUCGUCAUCG
rnacentral:rRNA from 1 species